rnacentral:rRNA from 1 species
GAUGAACGCUGGCGGCGUGCCUAAUACAUGCAAGUCGAGCGAACGGACGAGAAGCUUGCUUUUCUGAUGUUAGCGGCGGACGGGUGAGUAACACGUGGAUAACCUACCUAUAAGACUGGGAUAACUUCGGGAAACCGGCGCUUAUACCGGAUAAUAUUUUGAACCACAUGGUUCAAAAGUGAAAGUCGGUCUUGCUGUCACUUAUAGAUGGAUCCGCGCUGCUUUAGCUGGUUGGUAAGGUCACGGCUUACCACGGCAACGAGGCAUAGCCGACCUGAGAGAGGGAUCGGCCACACGGGAAGUGGAACACGGACCAGACUCCUGCGAGAGGCAGCAGUAGGGAAUCUUCGGCAAUGGGCGAAAGCCUGACGGAGCAACGCCGCGUGAGUGACAAAGACCUUCGGAUCGUAAAAAUCUGUUAUUAGGGAAGAACAGAUGUGUAAGUAACUGUGCACAUCUUGACGGUACCUAAUCAGAAAGCCACGGCUAACUACGUG